CGGUAACGGUUGCAUAAAGACUUCCUGCUGUGCCUUUCCUCUGAAACAUUAUACCAUCAACCAAUGGAAGGCUGAGUGAAUGGGGCAUGCACAGAACAGUUUACAGUACGAAUGAUCAACAUUCUAAAAUAGGACAUACGGAUUAACAACAACGGAAUUUUGAAUUAUCACGAUAUAUAAUAAUCCAUCUGUUUGAAUAAUGACCGAAAUAUUGGAUAUUGUGUGUGAAAGAGAAGAAAAGAAUUAUAUGGAUGCCAAUGGUUGGAUAAAUGAAGAAAGAAAUAAAGACAACAAAUGAAGUCGGCCUAGUUAUGAUCGCUGUGUUGGUUUACACAUAAAAUCCCUGUGGCACCACCUCCAUCUAGAAGCCUGAGGAGGAUAGACAAAUUAUGCGUCUGUCGAUAAUUCGUAAACUCUUUAAAAUAUGACCAGAGAGUAGUGUCGGUGAUUUUCUACGAGAAUAAUCAACAAAAUUAUUGAAAUGAUAAUAGUGACGGUGACUAGUUUAUUUACAACACAUACCAUCGGUGGAAAUCCAUAUAAGUUGCUCCUAGGAGUUAAUGAUGAUAAUUUUUGCUUUUAUCAUUUAUAAUAUCAUUCUGUUCUGCUUUUGGGGGAUUUUAUUUUUUGUGUGUGUGCAUGCACCAGGUUUGUAAUCUAUUUUGGUCAACAAGUCUUCGUAGAUCCACAAAGUAUAUGUAAAUUUAAAGUGAAAGUGCUUGUUUUUAGUGAGUCUAACAAGGUAAAUUUAUUCCACUAGUCUAUAUCAGCGAAAACGAAAAAUACGUUAAUGUGAUCUUUCUGGUGGAUUCACCAACUUUCUUGUCUUGUAUAAAAGCUAAAAUUUUCCUGUUUGUUGGUUGCCCAACCAAUGCUAUAUUUAACACAGCGAUUUAUAAACCUUUUAAAAUUCUUGGUGAGUCCACCAAUUUGGAACUUUAGUUUCAUUUCACAUUUCGCACAAUUUUAUAUUGGUGGAUCCACCAAGUAUUGAAAUAGUAACAGCAUUUUUCAUUUUGGACAAGUUCUUAAAAUUUGUUCAGUGUAGUAGUUAUUGAUAUAUUGAUAUAUUAGAAAAUUUAACCUCUUUGACUAUUGGUGGAACCACCAAACAUUGUUUGCAGAAUUGUUGAUUUGUAGGCAUUCGAAAGGGUUUCGUUUUUGUCAUCUGUUCUAUUAUUGCUUUGUUGGUGGGUUCACCAAUUCUUUGAAUGAAAUACAAAUGCAUUGUACAAAAGUUUCACACUUGAUUUUUGGUGGAUCCACCAGGGUCCUCUGUGCAUGAAAUAUUUUAUGCUAUUCAAAAUAAUAGAAUCGCCAAUAUCUUAGUAUUGGUGGACCCACCAAGUUUAUUCGUAAGUGGGAUAUUUGAUGAAUAAAAUUGGUGGAACCACCAGGGUCCUCUGUGAGUGAGAUAUUUUAUGCUGUUCAAAAUAAUAGAAUCGCCAAUUUAUUAUUAUUGGUAGACCCACCAAGUUUAUUCGUAAGUGAAAUAAUCGAUGAAUGAAAUUGGUGGAAUCACCAAUAUUUUGACUGUAAUCGUGGAAUAUGAAGGUUUAAAGAUACUGUAAAAUGUGCUUUUGUGUAAAAAAGAUGGUGGGUUCACCAAUUUAUGUUGUAUUCAACGACCAAAAUGAAUAAAAUUCAUGUUCAUUUCUGUUA